UGCCGGUGGUUUUCAUCUGGAUCUCGCCUUUUUACUCAGUCCAGGACCCCCGCCCAUGGCAUGGUGCCACCCACAGUUAAGAUUUUGCUUAAGAGAGGAAAUAUGCAGUCCUUCUAAGUCCAAAUGAUUGCAUAAUGAUCUUCAGUUUUAUCCUGCAACUGGCAUAAUUCAUUCUUUGUCAUUGAAGAAUAAAUAAUCCAAUUGUGGGUGUGUGGAUGUGCAUGCAUGCAUGCAUGUGCAUACAUGUAUGUAUGCAUGUAUGAUUUUUUCUUUGUCCAUUCUGUAGAUGAACAUCUAGUUCAAUCCUAUUUCUGGGCCAUUGAGCUAUCACAGUGCAGUGAUAAACGUGUAUACGGAUAUGCA